rnacentral:lncRNA from 1 species
AUUACUUCAAACACUAAUUUUGAAUUUCUAACAUUCACUCAUUUCCUUGUUUUCAUCAACCCGUAAAAUGAAGCAGCAAGUAGUUUUUGUCUUAGGCCUGCAAACUCUGAAUUGGAUAAUACAAUAAUAAUAAUAAAAUACAAGUUUUAAAAUUAAAUAUUUGCACACACGAUCACAAUUUAUUUCCCUUCAUAACCCCAAUUUUUGCAUGGCCCUCUUAUAGCAUAUACAUAUAGCUAUUAUGGUACAAAGGGGGGCAUAUACAUCAAAGUAUAUAUGACAUGAAACAUAUUGGUAUAUCAAAUAUUCUGGACAGUUCUGUUGGAUAUGGAAUAAUGGGAACUCUUGAUAGUACUUCAUAUACCUGCCAUGCAUUCCGGUGGGGUGACCGGGUACCGAGACUUGUCGGUGCAGUAAUCGUAGAUCAUGUGGUUCAUCCGAACCCAUCUGUAUCUCCUAGCUUCCAUGGCAUUAAGAGCUUGAUAAGCAGUACCUUCCCACCAGUUCCUAGGGUUACUAGCACAAUUUGCUGGCCCUGGAACUGGACACCCUUCAAUGUCAAAAUCCUUGUAAUAAGCCAAAAAUGGUGCUUUGCUCCAAUCAAUUUUCUCAAGUCCUCCCCUUGUUGCCCAAUCAUCAGCUUCCCAUAGUGUUGAAUAUACCCCCAUAGGUUGAAAUUUUGGGUAUGGGAUGUUUUUUGCUUCAUUGUUCUUGUAUACUCUUAUUGGCACUUCAUCUACAUAAAACCUGUUAAGAAAAAGCACCCAAAUGGUCAAAUUUUAAUGUCAUAUAUGCUUAUUAAUGUCACAUUUAUAGUUAGAUACUGGACUUACACAAUAUGAUGAUGGUUCCACAUAAUUGCGUAUGUAUGGAAAUCAGCAGCUGGAUCAAACCAGAGGUUAACCCUUUGUUCUCUAUCACCUUUACCAUGAGCAUAUAUGUUGGUUUGGACCGUGUAUGGUUGCCCGGUUCGGUUUCCCAAGAACUCGAAAUCUAGCUCGUCUCUUACGGUGUCCGUAUCAGAAUUCAUCUGCAAUACCAGAUUACAAUGAAAAACAGAUUAAAGGUUAAAGGUUAUGUCGGUAGGUAGCUUUACGUACGUAAAAGGCGGUGACGGUUCCGGCCGAGUCACCGGGGAUAAGCUUGAUCUUCAUGCUGACACGUCCAAACAAAUACCGUCUUUUGGAAGCAAAUCCACAGCCUAUAAAACAAAAUGAAUUAACAACACAUUAUCGAAGGGUUAACACAUUUAAUCAUUGAUUAUUAUUUUUAAAAAGUUAAACCUGAAUUUUGGUCUAGAAUAAGUUGAAUGGCCCUCCCCCCAUCGAUUUGCUUGAUAUGGGAAUCGGACCAAGUGAUUCUAAAAUCUUCGAGGAAAGUGGCGGGUCGUCCCGAAACCGAGAUCGAACAUGCAAGGAAACAAGAGAAGAUGAAAAGAAAAGCACUGCUUAGAGUUGCCAUUGUCAUCAAUGUUUUGAACUUAGAAGAUUAAAUUGUGGUGAAUAUGUGUAUAUGUGUAUGUAUAUAUAUAUAUAUAGGUGGGAGAGAUUAAGGUUGAUGUAGACCGCUGCAUUGAAAUAGAAAGUGCCAUUCUUAAGUUUAGCUUUCGAUACAGCUAAUGGCAAGCCGUCUUUAGGCCCUACAUACCCCCCAACUGUGCUCUAAUUUUGCCCUUUGGGAACCUAAUCUUAAUGCUUCCACUUCAUAACUUUCUCUUUGUUUUUGUUUUCAUUCUCCAACCUAACAAGAAAAAGGGAUCACAGAUAUUGAAAUUUUACAAUUGAAUUGAUCGUAUAUACAUUGUUUGUCAUGUUCCGUCAUCACAUGAAAAUUUGAUUAAUUUUAUAUAUGGGUGGAUAAUUUUCUAUCUCAUGAAAUUGAUAUGGUAUGAAGGUGGUGUAGAAAAGGAUUGAAGACCAAUGAGGUGUGCCUAAAAAUUUGGGUCAAAUAGGGUUUGGACUUAAGUUCACAAAGGCAGUCUCAUUCAAUAUUGCUUAUCUAAUAUAUCUGUGAACAGCCUAGAUUGAUAUUGAACGGCCGGUUGGCCGGAUCCACCGAGUUACAUGCCCCACCAUUAAGUUUUUUGGGGUCUAAUUGGUCAAAUUCCAUAGGCCUGGAAACCAAUCAGUAUAUCAAUUUAGAUAAAAGGGUUAGAUCGAUUUUAGAGCGAAGCACUUAAAACUAAAUUUAAACCGUAAACCGGUUGAACUGUUUUUUAAUGUUUUUAGUCCAAAUUAAUGGUCCAAAUCGAAAAAAAAAUCUCAACUGGCAAAAUCCAAAUACGUAAAUAUAUCAACCCAACCCACCCGAAUACUUAAAAAAAUUAUUAUUAUUAAGAAAAAAAAAGAGAGGAGAAAAACCAAUAUAAAUCGAAGUGUCAUUAUUGUUAUUUAUUUGUGUUUAUACAAUUUUGUUUUUAAUUUUGUCAAAUUUUUACUUAUUUUCCAAAUUUUCUUUAAUUUUGGACCAAUCGAACUAAAAUUUGGUGAUCUGAUUAGUUCGAUCACCAAUCCAAUUCCGAAAACAUUGGGGGUAGGGGUUGCCUUAUUUUCAUAUUGAUAUAGUAGACAUCGAUAAAAAUAAGAAAAAUAAGAACACAUGAAUUUCUUCAAUAAGUGACGGGAUUCGGGUCACACAAUCUCUAACACAUAUUAACAUGGCUAGCUCUCCUAGAAAAACUUUUAAAUGUUAAUCGAAAACUUUCCCAACUCGAAUAAAAAAAUCUUAAAUCCAAAAUGACUCAAAUCCUAAUUAUUACCUAAACUUAAUUCAAAAAUUCACUAACAAACCCGAAUAACUUCAUCUUACAAAUAAUCCAAACCCAAAUUAAUAUCAAACCUAAAACCACUCAAAAGUCAUGUUGAAAAUUGGAUCAAAUUCCAUUCCCAUCUUUUUCUACCACUUGACAAUUGUUGUGACAAGGAAUAAUUUCAAACAAAAGUAUUAUCCUAUUUUACAUCAAUUGAAGUUAAAACACAGAUAGUGAAAGACUGAGAUAUCUGAAAAUUAUACGACAGAAAGGGAUCAUUUCUUUCACCAGUUGCAUAACUGACGUACAAAGAUCCUCGGGAUUAAAGUUCAACCAAUGUUGGCUGCCAAACCUCAAUUAUUUUAAAACUUUGACCUCAAAGUCAAUAUAAAAAAAUAAUUCUAAAAAUAUGUAGUCCUUAAAUGAUUAAAUAUGCAAAUUUCCUUGUCCAAAUAAAAUUUUUAAUUUCUCCUCACAAAUUAUGAUUAAUUUAUAAUAAAAAAUAAAAAUUGUGGAUCAUGAUUUCCUCUCUCAACUAUAUAUCUCCAGGAUCCAAAUUUGAGUUCUUUUCAUAAGAGCGAAUACGGUUUACCACUGCACUCAACAUUUUUAAAAAAGAAUUAUGUAUAGGAGGAGGCAAAUUCUCUUAUAUCCUGUAUGUUAGUAUUGAGUUGCGGAUUUGCUGUGUUUCGAGUUGCAACUAAUGAUAUAAUUGAAAUUGAAAAAGAAAAGGGUUAAAAUAUGUCAUAGGUUCCUGUGCUUUUUAAUUUUAGGAAUUUAGUUUCUCUGCUUUCUAGAUUUCAAAAUUCAAGUCAAAUUAUUAAUUAUGUUAAUUUUUUGGGGUUGAAUUUGUUGGUGUGACAUUUUGAAAUUAGAAAAAAAAACCUUACUUGGUAGUAAUGUAACUAAAAUAAUGACGUUGUAAUGAACCUGAAUUUAACAAAAUAAUCUUAAUAGUGCUAACAAUUGGACCUAAUUUUUUACAUCUAAAAAGUAGGGGGAUUAAAUUCCAAAUUUCUGAAGAGUUUAGAGACUUAUAAUAUAUUUUAUCCAAAAAUUAGUUGUAGAGUUCAAAACCCCUUCCUACAUCUAUAUGGUCUUACUCGAAGAGUGAUUCAAAAUAAUUCAACAAUACAAGAGAUGAUUUAAGCUCAACUUACUCAACUUGUUGUUGCCUACAUGCAUAUAUAUAUAUAUAUAUAUAUAUAUAUAUAUAUUUGGGGUUAAAUCACUUUUUAGGAUCAAAACAUGGUAACAUUUUUUAUAUUGGGGUUUGAAUUUUUUUUCAAGUUAGGUCAUGAACUUAGCAAUUAUUCUUCCAUUGGGAACUAAACUUUUUUUUAUUCAAGAUAGAUCCUGAAUUAACAAUUUUUCCAAUAUUAGGGUUGAAUUUUUUUUUCCAAAUUAGUCUUUAAAAACCCUAAAAGUUCAGGUCAAGCCUCGAUGUGAGAAUAAUUGUCAAGUUCUUGGACUAACUUGAAAAAAAAUUCAAGCCCCAAUUUGAGAACAAUUGCCUAGUCUAGACCCCAAUGUGAGAACAGUUGUCAAGUUCAAAGUCUAACUUGAACCAAAAAAAAAAAUUUAUACUCCAGUGUAGAAAAAGUUACCAAGUUCAAAUCCCAAAUAAUAAUUUAACACUAUAUUUUAUAUUGAUAAAACAUAAAAAAAUAUCUUAAUUAAAUUAUAAAUAAAAUUAAUCAUAUAAUUAACUCUCAACAUUUAAUAUUAAGAUCCGUAAUUAAUUAUUUUUCCCUAAUGAUGAGAAACUAAUUUAACUUUUAUAUUUGAACUAAUAUACCGAUUAAUUUAACUUUCAUUCAAUUUAACCGAUCGAUCCAGUCCUAUUAAAUAACAUCGGUGAAAAUGAUGGCAAAUAUUUUAUGGGGAUUGGGACAUGUGGAUGCAUGCAUGGUAUGGCAUAUAAGUGAUUGCUGGGAUAAGCUAAUAAAUGGGGUUUUUUACUAAAUUAUUAUAAAAAAAUAAAAAAAUAAACAAAAUAUUAUAACUUUUUUUUUAUUUACCAAAAUAUUAUAAAUUUUUUUAAUUUACCAAAAUAUACCAAAAAAAAACUUGCAAAAAAAAACCUGUGGCGGCACCAAUGGUGCCAAAGCACUAAAAUGUAUUUGCAGUUUCAAGGACCUGACAUGCAAAUUUACCAUUUUAAAAUUUGAAAGUGAAUUGCCGCUGUGCGUGUGGGGCGCACUAAAAUUGAAAUGUGGCUAAUUGCCUUCUAAGCCCUCCUUAUUUUAAUUAAGUAAUAAACUUUAAUUAGUUAAGUGAUAAUUAAGAUACUUAGAAUUCUAAUUAAGUAAUAACUCUAUUUUAAUUUAAUAAACUAUUCUCAUUUAAUAAACUCUAAUUUAAUAAACUCUAUUUUGGUAGUUUGAUGAGAAUAGUUUAUUAAAUUAAAAUAGAGUUAUUAAGUAAUUUGAUGAGAAUAAUUUAUUAAAUUAAAAUAGAGUUAUUUCUUAAUUAGAAUUCUAAGUAUCUUAAUUAUCACUUAACUAAUAUUAGAUUUAAUUAAAAAAUUAACAGAAAUACCAGGCAUGCCUUAUUGAAAAACCAGAAGUAAUAAUAAAACUGAUCACCCAUAAAUGUAACCCAAAUAGAAAAAAUAAAUUAUAAUUAUAAACUAUUCUCAUCAAAUUUAGUAAAUUUUUUAAAUAAACUAUUCUCAUCAAAUUACCAAAAUAAUACAUAAAAUGCGAAUUAGUUUAUACUUUUUUAAAUAGCUUUACUUUAGGUAAAAUAUAUUUACUUUAAUAAUAAAAUAAAGGGAUUUUAUGAGUAAAAGUCAUAGAUUAAGAGCUUAUUUAACUACAAAAAUAGGUUGAGGGCUUGUUUAUUAAAUAAAAAAGUGAGUUAAAGGGGAAUAAAAAGAAAAUAAUAAAUAAGGAGGACUUAGAAGGCAAUUAGCCACAUUUCAAUUUUAGUGCACCCCACACGCACAGUGCAGCAAUUCACUUUCAAAAUUGAAAAUGGUAAAUUUGCAUGUCAGGUCUUUAAAACUGCAAAUAGUUGCAUUUUAGUCCUUUAGCACCAUUGGUGCCACCAAUCUCUUUGGCACCUUUGGUGCCGCCACAGGUUUUCUUUUUGCAAGUUUUUUUUGGUAUAUUUUGGUUAAUAAAAAAAUUUAUAAUAUUUUGAUAAAUAAAAAAAAGUUAUAAUAUUUUGGUUAUUUUUUAUUUUUUUAUAAUAAUUUAGUAAAAAACCCUAAUAAAUGCGUUCUCCAUUGGCAUUGAAUUUUGCCACCAUAACAAUAUUUGAGGUAAAUUUCAAAAAUAGUUCCAUAUCUUUGUUUAAGUUUAAUUUUGGUCACCGAUGUUUCAAUUGUUACGUUUUGUAGUUCACUUUUAUAUUCGGACCAAUAUACUCUUUCCCGUCUUCCUUUUCUUUUCUUCUAACCAAACCCUAGUCGCUGCUCACCGCCAUCGAUGGUCCUCCGGCCGAUAGUGCCACCAUUACUCCUCUCCUCUCCGUUCACUGAUUCAGAUUUCUUCUAGAGCAAACAAAAGGACAAAAGCCCAAGUUGAAGCUUAAACCUUUUCCAACCGUCAGAUCGGCCUAAUCCCAGGAUAUGUGCCUCUCCUCCGUCCAAUGAGGCUUUUCACCAUUGGAUUUGCGAGCAAAUAACUAGAGCCCCGAGAAUUCAACAACCCGAAAUGGGUUUUCUCUUCCCCUUUUGAUUUCCAUUUGCUCUCUUUUUCUUGAUUUUUUAUUCUCUUUUUUUCAUUUCUAUGCCUUCUUCUUUUCCGUGACAUGGAAGCCAUGUUAGCAUUUAGUGGUACAAUUUGUGCAAUGUCAGAUUUUUAUUAACACUAUUAACGGCCAUUAACCGACCAGUAAUCAAAUUGUUAAUAAUUGAUAAAAUUUAUGAUCAAAUCAUAACAAUUGAAACAUCAAUGACCCAAAUGUAAACUUAAACAAAGAUAUGGGAUUAUUUUUGAAAUUUCUAUAACACUAUUAAUGCCCAUGGUGGUAAAGGGCAUAAUUUAUUAUUAUAUUAAUCAAAAUUAUGUAUAAUUAGCAGAAAACAUUAAUUUUUGUAAUUAAUUGUCUUUAAUUACUCAUUUUCAAAAUUGACGAAAUUUAAAUUAUUCUAUCUUUUUAAGAGAUUAAUCUGCUCGAUAUUAAAAUUGAAGGAGACUGAAGAAAUAUUUUUACCUAAAAUUUUUUAGUAUAAGCCUAGCACUUUCCUAGCCAAUCAAGUCCUUAUCAUAUGGUUUGAUUGUCAAACUCAAAAUUAAAGUCAGUCUUUAUUAAAUCAAAUAAUUGCAAAGUGUAUAGCUUUUGCCGGUUCUAUCUUAAUAAUGUAAUCCAUCUAAUAAUAUAUAUUUGUUAAUGGGUCGGGUCGGAUCAAGUUCGAGUUAGGUUUAAGUAUAAUGUCAACACAUUGUAUGUUUAUCCAAGUUCGUUUAGUCUGAAAUAUAAAUUUAAAAUUUUAUCUAAAUCUACCCAUAUUUAUAAAUAUCUGGUCUAAAUUCAUUUUAAACCCGCUCAUAUUAUCUUUAAUUUAUUAUUUAAUAAUUUAAUUUUUUAUUUAUAAAAAAAUUUAUAUAUAGACAUCUAAUAUUUUUAAUGUUUAUAUAAUAUAUAUUAAAAAUUAAAAAGGGUCUAGGCUAAGUCGGACUUCAAAUGUUCAAACUCAAAUUCGACUCAUAUUUUAAACGAGCCUAAUUUUUGUUUAGGCUCAAUUUUACGAGAGUUUAACCUUUUUAAAAAUCAGACAACAUUGGAGUUAAACGAAUAACCCGAUCUAUGAAUAGCUCUAGAUUAACCCAAGACUCAAUUAUUUGAAAAACAUAAAAAGGGCCUAGGUAGACAAAAAGGUUUAAUGUAUUUUGUUUUUUGCCGGUAAAUUGAGAAUGCUGGAAUUGACAAAGCAACAAUAAAUAAGAAGCAUCUUUAAUUAGAGGCUGGCAAGCCAAUGGCUCUUCAAUUCCUAUUUUUUCAUUAUCUUAUAUUAAUAAUUAAUUUGGAUUAUUUAUUUUAUUUUUCUUGAUAAUGAUUAAACAUAAAAGUUUUAGUGUCAUAAAUAGAAAUUGGAGUAAAUAUAGAGUUGUUCAUAAGACAGGUGGCCCAUUUAGCUCGCGUAGUAUGAUCCGAUUUGAAUUUAAAUUAAAUUCUUUUUAAAUUUUAUAUAAAUAUAAAUAUCAAAUAAUAUAUUUUAAUAUUUUACUAAUUUUUUAAAUGGUGAUAUGGAAAAUUUUUUAAAAAUUUGAUAAUUAUAUAUUUCUUUCACUACUAUUAUAUAUAUUUUUAUUAAAUUUUCAAAUAUAAAUAACUUACCUUUUUUAAAAUAUAUACAUUAUGAUAUAACAUAUUUAAUUUUCAUAUGAUAUAAGUACAUAAUGCAUAAAUAAAAGGAAAAGUUACAUAUCAUAAGCUUGAAAACAUACUAGAGUUGAUAUUUGAAUACUGGAGUUCGAAUUAGACUUAUAUUUUAAAUGAACUUAAUUUUUUUACAUAAACUCACUCCUAGCAUGACGAUUGUUUUUUUUUUUUUUUCCGAAUCCUCCCAAUUAUUGAGAAGGAAUUUGAGUUAGGGUAGGUAUAUUGACCAUUGAACAAGUCCAAUCAUAGUUAAUAUUUUGAAAUUAUGAUUUAGAUUUUUAAUUGGUCGCUAAAUUUUAAAACUUUCUAACUGAACUAGCAUAAGUAUCGUAUCAAUCAAGUCUUUUCGAAAGUUUAGUCAUUAGCUUGAGGAUAAACGUUGGCUCAAACAUAACAUUGAGCCUAUUUUAAACAUAUGGAUCAAAUUAUAAUAUGUGUAUCGAAUUUGACGUGUUAAGAAAUGAAUCUCUUAAAUUUAAUUGACGAUGUUACUUGGGAUAAACAACACUCAAGAUUAAUAAAUUGAUAAAUUAAUGUUUUAAUCAUUUAACUUUAAAAAAUUACUAAAUAAUUACUGAACGGGCAAAAUACUAAAAAAAGUCCUAUUUUUUUAAAAUUUAUCGAAAUGGGCUCGGUAUUUUAUUAUUUACUGGAAUGGGCCAUUUUCCCCGAAAUCGCGUCCACGUCAGCGCGAUGUCAGGGGACGUGUCAGAACAUCGCGUCCACGUCAGCUCGCUUAGCUUAUGUGGACAGAAAUCGCGCCUACGAGGACGCGAUUUGCUGACGUGGAUGAACAGUUUAUGUUUUUUAGCUUGGAAAACUUUGAAAGGCCAUAACUUUUGGCUCGGUUGUCCGAUUGAGACGAUUUUUUUAUUUCGAAUAACUUUUCGAGAUCUACGCGCUGAAUUUCGAUUUGCCGCAGUUUUCGUCAAAAAAGAUCCUUUUUUGCCCCUGAAUUUCGAUUUUUUCAGUUUAAAAUUGAAUUUUGAAACAUUCAAAUCAUUAUUUUCCUUAUUUAUUUGAAGUAAACACCGGAUUUUUUUUACAGAAUUGUUGUAUUAUUUUUUCUGAUUUGACACGUGUAUGGAAUAGGUCCGAUAAAUCGUUAGAACGUAAGUAAUAUAAUUAAGAUUAUAACAGUAUUUCUAUAAUAUGUUAAUUAAUUAGUUUGGCUUAGUUGGUUAAGAUGCUUGCUCUUUUCCCUUAGUACCUUGGUUCAAAUCUUGUUGGUAACAAUUUUGAAUCUUUUUUGUACUUGUUGCUAUUGAUGUAAUAUUGAAGAGUUAAUUGAUUAAAAAAAUAAAUACAAGUACAAAAAGAUUCAAAAUUUAUUUUUUCAAAAUACCAAAAAAGCCCUAUAUUUUUAAAAUUUAUCAAAAUGGGCCCGGUAUUUUAUUUUUUUGACCGUUGGGUACUGUUCACGCGCGGGCCGAAAUCGCAUCCACGUCAGCAUCUCGCGCUGACGUGGACGCGAUUUCCUGACGCGUACCCUGACAUCGCGCUGACGUGGACGUGAUUUUCCGAAAAAAGAACCAUUCCGAUAAAUAAUUAAAAAAUAGGCCCAUUGCGGUAAUUUAAAAAAAAAAGCUUUUAUUAGUAAAUUGCCCAUUACUGAACUGCUUAAAAAUUUUCAUUUAAAUUACUGGAAAGGUUUUAAAUAUAUAAUUUUACAAUUUUUUUUUGUUUUAUUAAAUAAAUGACCGACAAUACUAUAAACCUUUUAGUUUCCACUUUCUAUCUUGUCUAUCAAUUCAUGGCAAUGUUAAUCAAUUAUGGUUAGUUAUGAAUUAUAAUAAGAAAUUAAUGAUAUUUAUUGAGACUAGUUCUAUGCACAUCCCCCGAGGGGGGCAAUAAAACAAUAAAGAAAAUUUUGGGUGAAAAUUCAAAAUAAUGAAAAAUUAAAAUUACUUAACUAAUAAUUUUUACUAUUUACCCUUAUCGAUUUAUUUAUUGCCAUGUACUCUAAUUUAUAUGAUUUUUGGUUCUUGUCUUUUUUAUGUUUUGGAAUUUUAGUGAAUACUUAAAUUAAUUAAGUUAAAUUUGUUAUUUCUAAAAUUUUACAUGGCAAACAUGUUUUUUUCCACAUAAUCCUUGCAAAAAAAAAGUCAAUCACUUUAGUUAAUUGAUAAAAUAGUUACGGUUUGAAUCGUGACUAAAAUAUCAAAAUUUAAAAGUUAAGUAUUAAAAAUAAUGAAAUUGGAGAACAUGGUCUAAAUCCAUAAUUUAGGCAUAGUACAAGAUUAAUAGCAUAAUUUGAUUUAACAUAUUUAACUGUCGUUUGGGUUGAGAUUAAAAUUUCAAAAUUCAAAAAGUACAAAGAUUAAAAUUGACCAAAUUAGAGUAUAAGAACAAAAAUUAAUAAAUUAUACAUGAUAUAGGGAGUAGGGACCAAUAAUAAAAUUUGACCUUAUAAAUGAAUAAAAAGUGCUAAUGGUUUUAAAAACUUACUGUGAUAAAAAAAAUGCAUGAGAGAGAAGUUAAAAUUAGGAAAGUUUUCUAGUCUCAUCAUUAGCUAUUGCUAUGUGUUGGUUUUUUCUGUUGAGUUUAAGACUUAUGAAGAUAAAUAUUAAUUACAAAUAAGAUUCCGCUAAAAUAAUCUCAUAAAAAGACUUUACAAAUAUAAUCGUAAAGUUCAAAAUAAAACAAAAAUUUACAAGAUAUAUCUUCAAGUCAAUCUUCAUAAAUCAAGGGAUCCAAUUUAUUUGACCUAGAUCAGUCCAAACUUCAAGGAUUUGUAGCUUCACAAAAUAGAUCUUCAAAUAUGGGUCAACACAUGUUCAUAAUAUUCACUAAGUCAUGACCCAACUGUUUUGGUUUAAAGAUCCGUCGACAUUAAUAAGCCAAGUUAUGUAACUUGUGGGCACUACAUGAGACAUUGCUCACAUAUUGCCUCAACAAUCUCUUCCAACAAGAAUUCUAUAUUUAGAAUAUGAAUCCAUCUUUAUAAAGUACCAUUUAAUCCAUCUUAAUCUGUCUAAAUUUUAUCAAAUCAAUUACCCUUAAUAUAAGAUUACAAAUGAUUGUGGUAAAUCUUCAUAAAAUCAACUCGCGUCUUCUUGGAUUUACAUAUCCAAAUAUAUAAGAUAACUUAAUUUGGACACGAGCAAUAUUACUACUUUAAAAACUUACCUAGACCCAAACACUUGUAUAAACUUAUUUUGUAUGAGAAAUUAUAGAGAAGAUUAAUUAAAUUUUAAUCUAAUUGCUGCAAAAUUUUCAAUUAUUUCAAUGGGAUAAUGCUAAGAAUAUUAUAUGAGAUUUGAGACCCUACAUUAUUGUGAAAUAUCAAAUCAGACCUACAUGACAUUUUUUUUCUUCAUAUAAAUCAAAUUUAAUGUAUAGAAAGUUCUAUUUUGUAUAUUUUAGCUGGAUCACACAUAAAAAAGUACUUUUAAUUCAUUGAAUUUUUUGAAGGGAAAAUCAAAUCAGGUAUAAUUUAAUAUUUCAACAAGCACAAAUAAUUGAUCUUUUGUGUGGUUUUAGAUAAAAGAAAUAAAUUUUAAAUAAAUCGCUUAGAACCAAUUGAAUAGGAUAAAAAAAUUGAUUAAAUUAAUGAUUGAAUUGAAUUUAUACUUUUAUAAUUAUUUUUUAAAAUUUAAAAUUAUUAGUAAUUUAUUUAAUUAAAAUUGAAGUGGUAAUCAAUUUGAUCAAACCGAAAAUCGAUUAUCUGAUGAAUUUAAUCACCAAUCCAAUUCUUAAUGCAUGUUUUUGACUUGGACAGGAAUUUUUCUUUUUAAAUUUAAUAUUGGAAAAUGAUUUUUCUAUGUAUAAUGUUUUUGGCUUAAAUACUCAUUUAGCUUUGGAAUUUAUCAUUUUCUCCCAAUUUGGUAUUUAUGGUAUUUUUGUUCCAAUAUUAAAUAUCAAAACCUUUGAUGGAAUGAAAAUCGAGAUACCAACUUGAAACAGAAAACCAUAAAUACCAACUUAAGAGAAUAUGAUAAAUUCGAGGGUUAAAUGAAUAUUUAAACCAACAUUCACUGAUUCAAGUAUAAACAACUACCCUAUCACAAAUUCAUAGAUUUCAUCCUUCGUUAUAAAACAAAGUUGCUGUGAUAAUUUUAUUUUCAAAAUGAAAUAUAAAAUAAUUAUUAAAUAAACUAAUUAAAAAUAUCAGAAAAUAACAAUUUCCUUUCGGUACUUUCACAGUAUCACUAUAAAUAUACUCGUAUAUAUAUAAAAAAAACUAAUAAUUUUCUUUUAAUUAACCAUAUGAAAUCAAUAAUUAAUUAUUACAUUUUUAGAAAUAAUAAUUUAAUUAAAAUUGACACAUAUAUAUAUAUAUUUAAAACUCAUAUCAAUAAAUUAAAGCUUCUAAGAAAAAAAAAUGAAUGUUAUUAAAAUAAUUAUGAAAAUCUAAUUAAAAAGCUAGCUGCCUCAAAGCUCAUUAAAUGCAUGCAAGGCAAUUGCAGGGUCAGGUAUGCACACGCCCUGAAAAAGAUUGCUCAAACAGUUUCUUACAUGCAGAGACUUUUUUGCCUAAAAUUAUACCCUCAAUCAUUUAACAUCACAGAGACUUUUUUGGCUAAAUUUAUACCCUCAAUCAUUUAACAUCUCCUUUUCUUAUCUGCUAAAUUCGAUUUAGUAAAAAUAAUUAAAAAAUUUGAAUGACAAAAAUAUGAACUUUUAAAACCUAAAUGAUUAUUGGGAAAAAAAUAAUUAACAGAGAAAUUUAUAUUUUAAUAUAAUGAUAAAAUUGUACUUUAAUUCCUCUAGUAAUUCAUAAUUCAUAUCUAACUUUCUUUAAAAUAAUUUUCUAACUUCGUCCAUGCUUCAGCGUAUACAGGGGCAGAAUCACCUUUAAUCCUUUUAUAAUUUUAAAUAAUUUAAAUUAGCAUAUGUAAAAUUACACUUUGCCUCUCAAGAAUGAGAACAAAAUUAGUAUAUAAACUAUUAAGAUGAUGAAAUUUUACUUUUACUAUUAUAAAAAUAUACAAUUUUAUUCCGACCCCUCAAUUUCUCUGGAUUUUGAUUGAUUUCCACUAGUUGCCACUAAAUUGUACUAAUGUAGAGUUGAAUUUUAUUCCAAAAAAGCUACUAAUGGUAUCAAUUCAAUACAAUAUAUAUAUAUAUAUAUAUAUAUAUAUAUAUAUAUAUAUAUAUAAAGUUCAAUGAUUUCGAUAUACCGUUUGCACAAUCAACACGUUUGGUCUAAAUAAUUAUGAAAAACUUGUAAACUCAUCAUUGAAUACAAGUAUCAUUAACAUUAAAAUAUUUAUCUAUUUCUAUUAUUAAAAACUGACAUGAUUAAUAAUAAAAUAACAAAAUAGUUACAAGUGACACACCACGUGUACCUCACUCUAAUGUACAUUAACCAGUUUUUAACAAUAGAAAUGGAUACAAAUUUUAACCGAAGGACUAGUCUGCUGUUUGAUUUAAUGCAUAAAGACUAACUUACCCAAUUUUAAUAGAAGGGACAAAAUAAAAUUUGACUCUCAGUACAAACAAGACUCCUGUUACUUUUACCUAUUGAGAAACAAUGGAAUUGAAAAAGAAAGUUGGAAGUUCAAAUUCAAUGGGAUAGAAACCUUGAAAGGACAGUGGAUAGUUCUCUUUGAUCUAUAUAACAAGUGAUAUAACAAAAACAGUAAUUUAAUUUGAUUAUUAUAAAACCCUGGAAAGAAUCUUACAGUACAAUAAAUAGUUGUUCAAGAAUAUCAACUUGCAAUUCUACUGAGUUGAGUAACUAGCUCCUUAUCUGUAGAGUUUUUCAAAUGUUCGACGAUUUCGUCGACAUACGGAGCUUCUAAGUGAAUCCUUCUUCUAAGCAUUAACCUAGCAAGCUUCACAGCUUCAACUGAAUGGCUUUGCCGACACAAGCCAACCAAAAGAAUAGAAUAGAUGUCAGUGUCGAUGGAUGAAAUGUAUUGAAUCCGCUCGAUUUCAUUGUAUAAGCAAAAACCAUCUAGCACUCGUCCCUCAUGACAGAUCUCCCUAAUCAUGGUACUACAAGCAAUGCCACUAGGUUUAGCCCCACUUACUAACAUUUUCCUAAAGAGCUUCUCUACCUCAUUGAGUCUAUUAAUCCUAAUCAAAGCCAAUACAAGAGAACUGUAGCAAUCACUAUUGGAAACACCACGUCCGGCAACUCUAUCGAUCAACUUAUAUGCUUCUUCGACAUGUCCCUCGGUGCAAAGACCCGUGAUCAAAGUAAUAACAGUUAUACGGUUAGGAACACACUGGCAAGCUUCCAUUCUAUCCAAAAUCCUCAAUGCCUCUAUUGUUUGACCCUUCUCACAAAAGCUUUUAAUCACAGAUGUAUAUGUGAUUACAUUUGGACUACAAUUCCCACCUGCUUUCUCCAUCUCCCCUAAUAAUUCCAAUGCCUUUUCCGUACUCCUGUACUUACAAAUACCCUCGAGAAGCACGGAAUAAGUCACAGCAUUUGGAGAAAACCCUUGCCCCUUCAUAGCCUGAAACAACUCACAAGCCUCCUCCAAUCUACCAGCAUUACAGAACCCCUUGAUCAUUGCAAAAUAAGUCAUCAUAUCGGGAUAAAGAUCAAUCAAGCCAAUCUCUUUCAUCAAUUUAUGAGCCAUAUCCAUAUCCCCUUUCUCACAAAGCAGCCUGAUAACCACAUUAUAAGCAGUAGUAUCCGGACGUAAAUUAAAUUCAGGCAUUUUCCUCAAUAGCAACAAAGCUUCAUCGGCAAUGUUAGCUUCUUUACACAAAUUCAAAACAACCUUAAACAUUUUAAGGUUAACUGAACACUUUUCCAUCCUGUAAGCUUUGAUAACAUCCAAAACAAGAAAUGGGUUUUGCUUAAUUUUCAAAAAUCCAGCAGCUUUGUUGUACAUAUAAGAACUAUACCUACAAUUUGAUUGAAGACCUGCCCAUAUGAAAAACCUUAAACCUAUUUGAGAUAGAGAUAUAUCAAAAGAACAUCUUUUUAACACCUCACAAACACAGUUUGGGUCCAAUUUGGCAUUGACUAAAGCUAAGGUUUUCUCUAUAUUGCUUUGGUUUUUCUCUAAAAGAGUGAAAAAUUUGUCGGCAGAGGAGACCGAUCUGAAUUGAAGAUUGAAAAUUUUGCUUUGUUUAGUGUGAAUUGAAAGUGAAAUCAAUCUAGAGAGAGAAGCAAUUGGCAUUGCUUUGUGGGGGAAUUUAGUGUCUUUGCAAGAGUUGAGGUUGAACAAAACAAUGAGGUAAAAUCUUACGAGAUUGUUUCCGAAUGAAGUUGGAUAAGUUUUGGCAAGAAUGAGGCCAGGUGUACCGAGUUGUUCGAAUGUGGCCCAGUACGGUGGCAUCAACUCAUAGCCAGGCAACCAUAACCUCAUAUAUGGCCCUGCAUUAUAACGAUAGAGCAUUAAGGUAACUCACAAUUAUGUAUGAUUUUCAUUUUAUUAAAAACAUAACAGUAUCAAGCAUAUAUCCGUGUUUGAUGUUCAAAUAUGAGUCCGGUGUGUAAAAGCGGAAACACGACAUUUCCUAAAAAUUAUUACCAUAUUAGCACAAGUCAGUGAUGGCUAAGCUUCUAUUACAUUGAAAGAUUGUUAAAUCGAAACCUGCAGUUUUAACACAUUAACUUCAUCAAAGUGGAAAAGCAAAACCGAAUUUUAUAAAAAUUAUAAUCGGAAACGAAAUUCACUUUGACGGAAACCGGAAUAACAACUGAGUUUAGUCGGUCGGUCCCGUCGGUUAAUCAUACCGAAAAAAUAUCAUGAAAAAAGCUGUUUUUUUUUUUAAUUUACACAAACCAUAAUGAAAGUAAAUUUGUAGUAAAUAAUUGAAUUUCCCAUAAUUGAUCGCAACAAAAAACUCAAUUUACAACCAUAAUUAAUUGGAAAGCUAAUCGAAAGUCAUAAGCUACCUGUUUCAUUUGGCUACUACUUCAAAUGACUACCAUAGAAUUUCGAAAUGGGCCAAAACUAAUUUUAGGGUAAAAGAAAAGUAGGCGAUGAGCAAGACGACAAAGUUGAACAUCAAUAGAUUAAAUAGUUUUAAAAGAAAGAUUGAACAGCUAUAUACAGUAGAUUAAAUGUGGCAAAAGCCAAAAAUAACUUACAGUGGCCGGUGACGAGGCGUUUUCCGAUGAGCAAGGCGGCAACCGAGGUCCGAGAAAGGUUGAAGGCGAUGAGCUGUUACCCACCGGCGUUGGGUUUGCUGGUUCAGUUCAAGGCUGUUCACCAUAGAUUUAGGCUUUUAUUUUUAAUUCGUUUAAAAUUUUUUCUUUUUUAAAUGAAUUAAAAUUUGUAUUUGGGUUUUUUAGUUUUUAGAAUUUGUAUUGGGCUUUAAUUUUUAUAGCUUGGAUCUUGUGUAUAAUGAAUUUAUUUGGGGAUUGGAAAAUGAGUAUGAUAUUUAUAUUUUAAAAAUAUAUAAAAUUAAUAAGUUAUAUUAAUUCGAAUUAGAUUUUAAAAUCGAUUGACUUAAAAUAAUUGAAUUAGUCUCUCAAAUCGAUUUGAAAUUAAAAUUGAUUUAAUUGAAUUAAGUGAAUCAAAUUUAAUCGAUUAAUUCGAUUUUAACCAAGUUUUCAUCAUCUUUAAAUUAAGUGAAAGUAUAUAUGUAAAAAUGUAUACUAUAUUUCAAACACAUAAAAGAGUUGGUAUCACGAGUCAACUGGACGCUAACUUAAGUGAAAAUACCCUUACUUUACAAAGUAAAUUGUAUUAUUUUAAGGAUGUUUUUGUCUUUCUACAUCUUUUAUAUAGAAAAAUGUUUACAUAUAAUAAGACUUUAACUUGUGUAUUUAUAGUUUCAACAUUUAUACUUUACAAUUCAACCAAAGUCUCAUUUACUAUAUUAAUUAAUUAUAAAUAUAUUUAUUAUAUAAUAUUAUGUUUUUCGUCUACGUGGUUGUGUCAUAAUCUAGUAAUAAUAGUAAAUAAAGUUUAUGCAAUUUAGGUUAAGUGAGUCACAGUACACCCAUCUCUUUACGCGCAUUUCGUUUUUAUCCCAAAGCUUUAAACUCACCACGCAGUCCUAGUCGUUCGCCGCAAUGCUUCGCUUUUCUUCAGUGGUUUCUGGCAUUGAUUUUGGUUUCAAUAUGUUCCCCUUAAUCUCCUGUCUACUAUUCUAGGAUUAUAUCCCAACAUCAUUGGUUUUCUCUAAUCUAAACUCAAAGUUUUGGUUGGCGUGCUUUCGGUCUCCCUCGCACACUGUUAACCACAACUCAAAUCUUAUAGUAGUCACUUUGAGCUUUCCAAAUCUAGUUUGACUAAAUUUGGGUCAAUGAAGCAUUUCACCAACGCCAUUCACUGCUCGAUCUUCUCAUGAAGCCAACGACUUGUUCCUUCUGUUCUCAUGAAUUGUAGGUUUUAUGUUUUCCCUAAUUUUUAUUCCUUGUUGGAUUGCAUUGUGUCACGGGUCAAGACUUUAGCUCCGAUCAUGUGUGACUUUAGAUUCGACUAAGUCAGCCUUUAGUCCUCGCUUGGGAGAGAUUUUAGCACACUUAGGGAACUUAGAUAGAACAAGAGAAUGUGGGAGAAUGUGGAAGCAUUCUUAUUAACUCUCAAAGUUAGCUUGUACAAAUGAGGGAUGAGAGCCUCUCCUUAUAUAAGUAAGCCCCAUUCAAUCCAACGGUUACAAUUGAUUACAAUAAAUGGUCAAUAUCACAUUCUAGAACUUUCCCACUUAACUCCAUUAAAUUCUAUACAUGAACGGAUAGUUCUAGAGCUUCCAAAAAUAUUCUACAUGGUUCUAAAGUCUUUCGGGGCACUUCGGGAAUCUUGUGGCUCAAUAGUCUCGUGUUUGCUCGAUUUCGGGCUUGAUAAGGCCUUGCUCACUCACGAAUCAUGACACUUGGAUUAGUUGCCUUGCUUUGUCUCUAUUUUUUUUUCAAUUGCAAAAUAGGAAAUCAAGAAAACUACUAGGUUUGUGCUAGGGAAUUUGCUUCAAGGGUAGGCAUUUCAACCCUUAAGGUUCUUUUGGAAGGGUAAGGAUGAAGGUAAAAGUGGGCUAGACUGUGUUAACCAAAGGUUUCAAAGAAUUUGACAUUCAAGAUUGUUAUAUUGCUACCUCGGCUUGGGCAUGUGGUAACAUGAGAAGCGAUUGAGGAAACACACAUGGAUGGCCUUCCACCUUAUAUCGUCCAUAUGAUUUCUCAAUGACCAAUCACCUGCAUGCUUCGUACUACCCAGGGGAAAGAUCAUCUAUCCUUAACCACUCGAUUGGACCCUUCGUUAGGCCACCCGCUAUUAGCUAGUGCACUCUCCUCAAGAGGAGACCUUCGAGUGGUGUAAUUGGACAGGAGACCUCCUACCUAUAAAUACCACAAGAUACAACAUAAAAGGGAUCUUCUUCUUCCUUCUCAUAAACCCUAAAUAACAUACUAAGCCCUUAGCCUCCUCUUAUUCCCUCACUUUUCCAACUCUUCACUUGUUUAGAUUAACCAACCUCCUUCGCUCCACCACCUUCUCCACCAUAUUUCCUCAUUUGUUGAUAUAUUGUAUCAACAAAUAUAUUUAAAAUAAAUAAAAUAUAUAAAUAUAUGAAGUUUGUUAAGUUGAUUGGUUCAAUUAUGAAUAUUAAUAACCUUAAACUGACUAACUUAAUCAAAAGCAUGUGCCAACUAAUUUAAUAAAAUACACAAACCCAAUAUUGGUUUAACCGAAUGAACCAAUUAAAUCAAUAAUAUUCGAUUUUUGCUUACCCUAUGCAUCCAAAGAGAAAAGAAAAUUGAUUUUCAUCCAAUUUUUUUAUUCGCUCUGCCUACCAUGCGGUGAAGGUUGAGCUAUAGAAAGAAAAAAAAAAACCCAUGCCCUUUCCAAUUUCAAAAUCGAAAUUUUUUCAAUCAAAGUAUCAUAAAAGCUCAUGUAGUAAAGUUAAAUUGUGUUUUGUCCAUUUUACUUAAAAAUUAAAAAAUUAGUCUCUAUAUAUUAGGGCAAGGAACAAAUUGGUCCUUUUAGCUAAAAAGUUCAUCAAUUUUUAACAAUAGAAAUGGAUAAAAUUUUUAACAGUGGAUAAAAUUUUUAACAGAGGACUAAUUGACUCUUUAAUCUAAUAUAGAUUAAUUUGGUUCUACUACAGGGUCAUCCACGAUACAUUUACCAAAAAUUUUCUCAUAUCACAUAAGUUUCUUUUUGGUUUAUAUCACAAGUGUCCUUAUUCGAUAUGAGAUUAGUUUCGCUCGGGUUAAGAAUGGAUUCGAGUAAAGCCCUCUCAAUAAUGAGAAUUCUAAAAAUCGAACUUAACCUAAAUUACCGACGGAAAAAUCCACUCUUUCCAAGCACUUGUUAAUACGGUUUAACAAUAUAUUUAGACAAAAAUAAUAAUAAUUGAAAUAAUCUACAUUCUUCUUAUGAUACAUCAGUGAUUUCAUAUCCGUUUUGUAAGAACCGGUUGGCGUUUAUGGUGUUUGGUUGCUGUUUUUUGUUCCAUAGUUGUCUUCUUUCUUUGUAUAUGUACUGAAUUACGGCUUUUUCCUCUUCUCAAAUGCUCCUUUCAAUACUGUCAUCCCACCCUAUCUUUCAAAUUCUAUUGCCUUUCUUUCUCUAUCUUCUAUUAUAUAUAGUAACUUGUCUCUGUUUCCCAAAUCUUUGUUGGCCAUUGUAGCUUAAACAAAAGCUCAACACCCGAGGUUUUAAGAAAAAAGGUUUGUUUUCCUUUUCUGCCUUCUCUUUUUUCCUUUUUGUCAUUCGCUUCUGCAUUAACUUACUUGUCCUUCGAUCGUUACAUCAUUUCAACAGACUGCGAUAUAUCGCCCGCCCUUAUAAUAUUAUUACCACUCUCCUCUUCCGUUAUAAAAAGUAUCCAAAUUUUGCCAUCGUUUUCUUCAUCAAAAUGAGCCAUAGUUUCAUAUUUUCCCUUCUUUUUCUCUUGAUUUUAAGCUCAACCCAACUGAGAUACAAAGCUGAAGGUAACUUUUAAUCAUCUUUUUCAUUAGGCAAUUUUUUCUUGCUUGCUUACUUUUGUUUCUGCAGGUAGAUCAAUACCAAAAUCCGAUGAAGAAAAGGCGAGGUUAAGAGCACAGAUAGGAUCAAGGCCACCAAGGUGUGAGAGAAGGUGCAAUUCAUGCGACCAUUGUGAAGCCAUUCAAGUGCCUACCAAUCCUCAAAUCUCCCAUGUUGCUUAUGCAAGAGGUGAUGGAAGCUCUAACUACAAACCCAUGAGUUGGAAAUGCAAAUGUGGCAACUUCAUCUUCAACCCUUAGCUCAUAAAUACAUAUAUAUUUUAGGUUCUUAAAUACCCAUUUUUGAACCAUGUAAGUAUUUUUUUUUUUUUUUUGCUUGUGAGAACAUAUUAGAAUUCCGUUGUGAAAUUUCUUGAUUAUCUGAAUCUUUAAAAAGAAAAUGAAUCUAUAGUACUUGCUGUUGCUGUGGGGCGUGUAUUUGUACUGGUAUNNNNNNNNNNNNNNNNNNNNNNNNNNNNNNNNNNNNNNNNNNNNNNNNNNNNNNNNNNNNNNNNNNNNNNNNNNNNNNNNNNNNNNNNNNNNNNNNNNNNACGUACUAAGAUACGAUUUCUUGGGCAAAUCGUUAUGACGUUGGGAGGAAGGGGGGUCUAGAAAUUAGUGUAAAGUAUUUACUUAAAAAGUAGACAAUGAUUUUUGAGUUGGUAUAGUUUCACCAUACACGCCAUCGUGUCUGGUUUUGGUGUCAACUAUUGUCGAAAAAUGCGAUAGGAAUUGAAGUGAUCAGAGAGGGUAAAGGAAAAAGCUUAAACUGUUCUUUUAAUGGCAGAUUCCAGUUGUGUUUUCUUCUUAUUGUCUCUCUUCGUUGCUUACUUGGCGUGUAAGGAAUUACAUAGUAACGAUUCCGUUUUCCUUGAAAACUUACUUGAACAGUCAGCUCGCCUGGUUUCAUUAACAUGACAAAACAUACAUGGGUCUAAAACCAAAACAACUUUUAGGAUUUAAUCUAAUUGUCUGAAUUGAUUAUCAAGAUUGCUCCGUUGGCUUAUUUCAUUGUUUCAUAAUGAUUAAUUCGAUUUUUUAAGUAUUUAAAUUAGAUUAAGUGCAAUUUUCAGUAAAAUAAACCAAUCCAUUUAAUCAACUUUUCUAUUUUUUAAAUAUGUUUAUAAUAUAUAAUUUUUUUGGGUAAAUAAAGGUAGUGGACACUAUUAUAAAUAACAAUCCCUCUAAAUCAUAUUACGCAUAUAGACUCUAGAAAUGAAAAUAACGUUUCAUCUCUGAGUAAGGGUAUUAAUAGUCUUGUUGAUAUAACUUCUUUUUAUUUUGGUAAAUUAUAUAGUAAAGUCAGUUCUGUAGAAGAAAAAGUAAAUAACUUAGGUAAUAUAAAAGAUUUAGACUUAAACCAUGAGUCUAAAGAAAUAUUAACUAAUGUUAAUAAUAAAUUAGAUCAAGUUUUUAAUAAUAAUAAUAUAGAGUCCGAUGUAAAUUUAGGUCCUUUAUAUUAUGGUAAUGGUCAAGAUCAUAUUUUUGUUUUAUCUGAUGAAGAAAACACUUCAUCUGAUGAGUCGUCAUCUAUGUUAAAAAAUUAUAAAAAACAUAAAAAACGUAAAAAAGUUGAUAAACAAAAAGAAUAUGAUUUCCAAUCCUAUAAAACACUUAUAGAACAUUGGAAAGAAAAAUUUGCUACUACUAAUGAUCAACUUGAAAGAGUUGAAUAUUUAAAACUAAUAGAAGAACUUUAUGAAAAACAUAAAGAUCUUUUUAGUAUGUUUAAUUAUCAUUAUAUGUUAAAAUAUGAUGAUACAAGUAGUGGUUCGAGUAAUUCUGAAAACACAUAAUUAUUCAAAAAUCAAUCUGGUGAAGAAAAAACUUCAACAGAUCAGGAAAUAAAAAAUAGAAACUUAUCUGAUGAAGAAAAAACUUCAACAGACCAGGAUGAAGACAUAAAAGUCUCAACCUAUACUUCUGAUGAAGAAACCACUUCAUCUGAAGAAGAAAAUAUAGACAUUCCUGAACCCAUGGAUACUGAACCACCAGAUCCUCGUGGAAAAAGGAAGUUAGAAUCUGAUGGUCUAACAGAUGACUAUCUUAGAUUUUCUAACAAAGAUUAUGAAUUAGAUAAUGGAAAAUUUAGAAUCUUUGGUAACAAAUCCGAAGAUAUAGCUACUAAUGAUGUUAAACCUGAACAUUUAGGAGAAACAUCUAGUCAACCUGUUCAACAAAGAAUAGAUGACUUAAAUAAAAGAAAUGUUGCUCAAGGAGGAAUAUAUUUAGAUUUGACUAAUAUUUCUAUUCCAGACUAUGAAAAAACCAUAGAAAAUUGGGCACAGUCAAUGACGAUUGUUGUAAACAACAACACAUNNNNNNNNNNNNNNNNNNNNNNNNNNNNNNNNNNNNNNNNNNNNNNNNNNNNNNNNNNNNNNNNNNNNNNNNNNNNNNNNNNNNNNNNNNNNNNNNNNNNNNNNNNNNNNNNNNNNNNNNNNNNNNNNNNNNNNNNNNNNNNNNNNNNNNNNNNNNNNNNNNNNNNNNNNNNNNNNNNNNNNNNNNNNNNNNNNNAAAAAGAUCAAGAUAGUGUUGCUAGCUAUACUCUUUCAAAAAUUAAAUUAUGUGAUAUUAGAUAUUUGGAUGAAUUUUCUAAAAAAUUUCUUCAUGAAUAUCAGAAAUUAAAAAAUGAAAAUAUAGAGUUUUGGAAAAACCAAUACUUUCAUAAAUUAACCCCACCUUGGGAUGAGAUAUGUAUAAACAAAUAUGUAUCUUAUUUAGAAAAGCAAAGUAAAACAUCUGGGCUUUCUUAUGAAAAUUUAGAUUCUAUAGGAAAUAGAAUUUAUUUUGCAAGAGAAAGAAUAACUUUGCACUGCUUGCAAACUAAAGCGGCUAAACAAGUCAAAAAUAAAUUAGGUUAUAAAUAUUGUUCUAAAAUAUUAGAAAAUGAAUGGGAAUUUGGGUGUAAACAAAUAUAUCCUAAAACCUAUAAAAAACGUAAAAAAAUAUAAAUUUAGAAAAUGGAAACCAGGUAAUAAAAAAAUUUCUGGUCAAAGUCAAAAAGUGGUAAGGAAAAAGAAUUCCAACCAAAAGAAACAAAUAUGUAAAUGUUUUAUUUGUGAUGAAGAAGGUCAUCUAGCUAACAAAUGUCCUAAUAAAGGGAAAAAUGCUAGGAAAAUGAUCAAAAAUCUUGAAGAACAAGAUUUAGAAAUAUGUUUCAUACAGGAAACAAAUCCUAAUGAAAUAUUAUAUGAAUUAAUAUCAGAAACAGAUUCUGAUGAAGAAUAUAUUUUUAUGUUUAAUAUAGGAAAUAAUUCUAAAAAUCAAUUAGAAGAAAUUCCUAAUUCUGAACAACAGAAUAUUAAAUUAGGAAGUCUAAUCGGAGAAGAAAAAGACUUUUCUGAUGAAAUGAUAGAGAAGAUUAACAAAAAUCAUAUCUCUAAAGAAGAAAUUUAUAAAAUCUCUAAGUUCAAAAUCUGGACACAGAGACACAUAGAAAAAAUUAGCGGUAAUACAGUCGCUAAAGAUACAAGAGGAGGAUUAACAGAAAUCCCACUCUUUACUAAAGAAAAAAUUAAGAGGAUUAGAAAGAAAUAUCCUCAAGUUAGAUAUAUUCAUUUAGGUAUAAUCAUGAUUACUAUAAGAGCCUUAUUUAGGAGAGGUCAUGGUAUUCCUAUUAUAGCAGUACUUUUAGAUAAAAGAUUUGAAAAUCCAAUAAAAUCACUUAUUGGAGGAAUUCAGUCUAAUUUACAUAUGGGCGUAAUAGGAUUUAAAGUUAAACCCAAUUACUUUAUUUCCAUUACAGAUCCUCUAAUAGAAGAGUGUCUUUGCCUUAGAAUUCAGACAAAAAAUUCUGAUAUUAAUGAUUUAGCAGAAGAUCUAGCAAUCAGUUGGACUUCUAUUAAUGAAUAUACAAAUACUGCUGAAGUAGAAAUAAAAGAGAUUAAUAACAAAAUUAUUGAACUCUUUGAACCAAACCGGUUCACUACUGAAAUUCAGCCUAGAUUAUUAGAUAUAAGAGAUCUGUCAAUUCCAAGAGAUUGGAUGAUAGAUAAAAUUAGUAAUGCAAGUACUUCUAAACCAGUAAGUACUAUAGAAUACAUGUCAUCUGGAAACAAAUUAUAUUUUAAAAAUAAUUGUAUAACCAAUACAAAUGAAAAUUUAGUUUUACCCUCUAGUUCUCAACCGGAAGAAGAAGAGGAUAAUAUUAGUACAAACAGUACACCAAUAGGAAUUAAAACUAUACAAAUUCCUAUAUUUCCUACUGAACCCAGUAUUAAUUCUAGAAAAACUAGAAUGGAAGAAAUACAGGUUUCAACGAUUGAUAAAAAGUCAAAAGUUGGAAUAAUUAUAAGAAUUACAUUCCAGUUUAGUAAAUAUAAACCAUAUUCUCUAAACGCUAUGAUAGAUACUGGAGCUACAAUCUGUAGUUGCAGAAUGAAUGCGAUCCCUGCAGAAAAAUGAGAAUUAAUUAGAAAACCUAUAAUAAUAAAAGGUAUAGAUGGUAAUAAAACCAUUAUUAAUUAUAAAGCAAAAAAUAUACCAAUCUACAUAAACAAUGUUAGAUUUGUAAUUCCUAAAAUUGUAUGUUUUCCUAGUAUGCAAACAGAUAUAUUAUUAGGAAAUAAUUUUAUACUUAGACAUUUACCUUUUACUAUUAACAAAAAUAGUAUUUGGUUAUCAAAAGAAAAAGAUUUUAUAAAAAUACCAAUUGAAGAAGAUAAUAAAAUUGUGUGUAAUAAAAAUUUUACACCAGUUAAAAUUAAUUAGCCAAUACUUGCAAUUUAUUACUAAUACUUGCUGAUUUUUUAAGCAGGCCUUAUGGAUAGAGGUAAAAAACCUCUACAUCAAGCAAUAGUUGGUGAAUGGACAACCGUUCACAAAAAACCCAUCAAAGGGAAAGCAGAAUCAACAUCCAAAAAAGGAUUUGUACCUGCACAACAAACACCAUUUUAUCCUAACCAAGGAUAUUAUGUGUCUUAUCCAAUGGUAAACCAACCACUUGGAUCAAAUGUUUUAAAUUACCCAAUGGUAAAUCAACCAAUGGGAAAUACUUUUUCAUUGACCCCAAACACGGUGAGUCAAUUACAAUGGUCCCAAAAUCCGAAUUCAGUAUCACAAACAAGUUAUGCUGAAGUCAUUAAGGGAGCAGAGAAUUUGUUGAAUCAACAAUAAAUUCAAGAAUUAAAAGAUCUUUCAAAAAUUAAAGAUUUUUAUAAUCCUGGUUUAUUACCAGAAAUUUAUAAUUUUAUAAAUGAAAUAUGGAAAACCCAUGUUUCACAACAAAGAGCCAGUUUCCGUGGAGCUCUUACCAGAUUUUCAUUAUUUUUAGUUGAAAAAACAACUAAAGAGAAUGAAGCUGAAGAUUUAUUACUAAAAUCUAUUUUAUAUAGAGAAUGGGAUGAAUUCCAGCUAGAAUUCAUUGAUAUUAAGGAGAUAAACAAUCUUCUUGAUAUUAUUCAAUAUUUUAUUCAUAAAGGGAAAAACAAUUCUAUUAUGAAUAAAGUAUUUAGAAUAUGUAUGUAUAAUAAAGCUAGGAAAUUAUUACCAGUAGAAAUAUUCAAAAAAAUAAAUAAAGUAAUUUGCAGACAGCAAAACCAGUUUCAAAAAGCUUUUUCAGAAUAUUUUCUACANNNNNNNNNNNNNNNNNNNNNNNNNNNNNNNNNNNNNNNNNNNNNNNNNNNNNNNNNNNNNNNNNNNNNNNNNNNNNNNNNNNNNNNNNNNNNNNNNNNNAUUUAAUAUAACCAAUAUUGAAUGGAGUUUUACUAAAGAAAUAGUUGUGCAAAAUCUUUCUUUUCAUCUUUUAAAAGAUUUUCCAGCUAUUGUAAAAUCUGUUUUACAAAACAUCAUAAACAAUGAUGAUUUUUAUUACUAUUUUCAUAUUGAUAUUAGUAGUCUAAUUGGUAUAGCUGAACAAGAAAAAUUCUAUCAGCCGUAUCAAAUUUGGAUUAUUAAAAGGAUGAUUGGAACACCCCAAUUAUCUGCUGUAAAUGAAGAUAAAGAACAUUUGUCAAAAACAAUUGAUAAAUGUUAUAAUAAGUUUGAAGAUUAUCAAGUCCAAACAUGAUUAGAUUUAUUAUCACAAGCCCAUUAUCUUCUCUAUGAUGAAGUCUACAAACUCUGGACGGAUGGAAGAAGAAUUUUGACAUUUCCAAAUGGAAACAUCCAGGAGGAAAGAAAUGAAGAAUCUGUGAAGCUAUUAAAAAAGAUUGUUGAAAUGGAGAUAGAAGAAUUUCCAUCUCACAUUACAGAAAAAAUCAAAUACACAUGGGAGAUGUGGAACUCACCACCAAGACUCUCAUCAGAUUCUUUACAUUUGGAUGAGAUCGAAGAAAUGAAUCUCAACAACAUGCAAGAAGGUUGAAGUCAACAAAGACAGCAACUUGAUAAGAAGGAAAUCCACAUACCGACAACAAAGUUUGGCAACGUGGAUGUCAUCAUCAAACCCAUGAUGGAGACAAAAGAAGACAAUCCAUAUGCAGACAAACAAGUCUUGCAACGUGGAAGUUAUCAUCAAACCAAUGAUGAUGUAAGCAAUGAUGGAAGCUACCAUGACACAAGCAAGUGAUGGAAGCAGCCAUUAAUACAAGCAUGCAACGUGGAAACAACCAGGUCCAUGCAAUUAAAGUUACAAAAGAUGGAGACGUGGAAGCAACCACAUCCACAAAGUAGCCGAAUCCUUAUCAGAAACACUGUUCGGGAUUCAAAAUACAAUUGUAUAGAAUUUUUUAAUUUUCCUCUAUAAAUAGGGAGGAAAGCUCAAUUGUAUAGCAUCUUGUAAAUUCCGCAUUAUCUUUCUUUUAGUUUUCUCUCUUCUGUAAACAUUUUCCUUUUGUAAUAAAGAGUCUAUAAAUAGGGAGGAAAGCUCAAUUGUAUAGCAUCUUGUAAAUUCCGCAUUAUCUUUCUUUUAUUGCUAUUUUUAUAUCUCUUACAAUCAUAUUUGGAAGGAAAUAUCAAGAAGAAAAUCAGCUCAAUUUACUUAACCCGCCUAAGAAUUAAUGUUGAGCUUAGAUAAAUUAAGAACUAAAUUAAUCUUACAAAGUUAAUGAAUUAUGAAUACGAGUUGAAUAGUUUAAGGUAUGUUAGACAUUAUUUUUAGGAAUAUUUAUUUAUAUUUUAUAAGAUUUAACAAGUUUUUCUAUCAAUAUAUGACACUCGGAAUAAAUAUUUGAGUCCAAUUCUUAAGCAUGCAAAUUCAUCAUCUAAACUCCUAAUGAUGUACAAUGACUUGUAAAUAAGGGUGUCAAAGUUUUCUUUAAGUAACAAUUAAUCUACCUAUGAGAUUAGCUAGUUAAAUCGAUUUGUUUUCAUUUUUCAACUAGAAAGAUAAAGGUCUUUGUCACCUUAAAAAUGAAAAUUUGUGAUUUAAUCCCUCUGUAAAUGAUAAAUUAUAAAUUAAUAUAUGAUAAAAUUACAUUUUAAAUUUAAAAUGAAAAAAGAUCUAUUUAAUUCCUUUAAAAAUGAUGAAAUCUUAAGUUAAUACAUUAUAAAAAUUUAUAUUAACCUCUAAAAAAAUUAUAAUUCGAUUCUAACACCUAAUAAGUUUAACUAGAUAUGACCAUAUAUACCCCAACCAUUAAAUUGAUCUUUCACAAAUUCUCGUAGAUAAAAUAAUAUUGCAGAAACCAUAUUAACCAAUUAUUAUAAACACAAAUCAAGCAAAAGGAGUAGCUUAAGUUAAGACCCAUCAAAAACAACGUUUUGGAUCCAAUAGAGAGGAGUAAAAAUCCUCAACAAAAUAUACUAAAGAAAAAAUAAACAAUAGAGAGCUGUUUCUAUACAAGAGGAAAUGAAAAGACACAAGAGAGAAAAAAAAAAAAAAAGGAACCAAUCAAUCAUGGUGAUGAUGAAGAAGAGCUGAGGAUAAGAGUUGAUGGGAUAUUUCAUUAUCGUAUUGUAUGAUUAUUUUUUCCAUCUAUGGGUUUUUUUUUUUUUUAAAAAAACUUUGUUUUACGAAGUGAAAUUCGCUAUACUACAAAAUUCAUGCAUAGAUCUUUCACGUAGACAUGACUAAACAAAGGGUUUUCCUUGCAUAUAGGUACGAUUUUCGUUGUUUUUUUUGGGGGGAGGGCGGGGGGUUAAAAUCAAUCAUAUAAACAGUGGGAGCAAAGGAAAAUAUACUGAAUGACAGUAGCUAAUGGAUAGGCAGACAAGGUGCUGUUGCAGCAAACAAGUAAUGGGGUCAAUACCUAUAUGGGUGCUCUUUGUUGGCUCAAGUUUGGACAGUAAACAUAUACGUUUGUACAUGUAAAUUUUGGAAAUCUAUUAUUCUAUUUUUAGGUCAAUUGUAGCAUACAUCUACAAUAUUGAAUUGGUUUUCAAUUAUAUUUGAGUUUUUUUUUUUAAUUACAAGAGGAGGGCAAAGUCCUAACAGGAACACGUUUUGAACUCAGGCCAUGCUUGAGGUGAUGAACACUCUGAUCAUCAGGCCAACACACGGGAUAAGUUUUGAUGUUGAAUGUUAAUUUGAAUUUAACAUGAAUUAUAGGGUUUGAAUUUUGAUUAAUGAGGAGUCAACAAUGGGUAUUAAUAAUUGAUCUCUUAUGUUGUUGUGAUUCAUAUAUUUUAAAUAUGCUUCACAUUAAAUCAAAACUAAUAUUUAAUGACUGAGCUAACGAAAUGGCUUACUUGAUGUGAUCCUAAUAUUUUAAAGAUUCAAUUAAAACUUUUUACAAUUUAUGAACUAAUUUAAAAUAUGGAUCGCUAAUGUCUUCAUUAGAUGGAGAUAGAGUUCUAAGCUUCAGGUUUAUAAUAGAGUUUAUGUUCUGGGAUGAUCUCCGAUGUUUAAGUCAAUGGAAGAAUGACGAAGAAAGUUUGAAAUAAUGUUGUUAAGUGUAUAUGUAGUGGUAAACAUGUUUCUUCUUUAUCCUUGAGCCCCUAGCUGUGUCUAUAGUCAUUGUUCUUGAAGACAAACGAAGAUUAUAUUUAACUCUUUGUUGAAGAUUAUAAUUAGUUGAAGUAUGCGUCCUUAAUUCGAUAAGAUUAUAUUUUUAACUCUUUGUUGGGUACAUGCAACUUAGUCAUCACAUCGCACAUAUAUAUGCACUUGAGAGAUAUGGGGCCUUCCAAGCUAUUGUUUGUGAGAGCUCGAGGCUUUAGCUCUCGACUAAUAAAACUAAAGUUAUAAUUUGAGGAUCACCGAUGAAUUAAUCAUUUACUUUUUUCAAAUUUAUUAAAAUAUUAUUUUAUAAAAUAAUUAUUUCCAUCCAUUAUAUAUUGAUUUAAAUCAUGAGUUAAUGUCACCUUUGACCCAUAAACAAUGAUAAUCACACGAUUAAUUGUGAUAAUUACUUCUAUAAUUGUGAUGUAUAAACAUAAUGUGAUAUUCUUUAUGGCAAUUUAAAUUCCUAAGAUGAAGUGACAAAUGACAUAUUUCCAUAACAUAGAGAAAAAUACUGACGAUACAAUAUGCAAAUUCCAGUGGCAAACUUUGCAUCAAUUAUUAUAUGACUAUAUUUUUGGUACAAAUAUAAUUUAUAUUACAUUUUAAAAAAUUCACAGAAAUCCAAUUCUCAAUAUACGAUAAUGGUUUUUUUUUUUUUUAAAACCUAGAUUAUUCACUACAUGUAGUAAGGCUUAAUUUUUUUUACAGUAAAUAUUCUCCGAAUAAGUAAAUGAAUAAUCAUAAAAAUUGUGACGCUUUUAUUCCUUUAUUUAAUUAAAAUGGUAAUAUAAAUUUAGAUUAAGGAAUAACUUAUAAGGAUGAUCUUAAAAAUUAAGGUUUUUAGGUAUAAAUCAAAUUUUGUCAUAUCAUCAAAUUUUAAUAUUAUAUACACUCAUCUAUAGAACAAUUAUUUUAUGGACCAUUCUCAGUACCACAUUAUUCAUGGUCCAUUUUCAUUUAUUUAAUAACAUUUUAACAAUUUUUUCCAUGUCAUUGACACAUAAUUUUGGUAAUUUUUUACGUUGAAUCUAGAUUCUCGAACCCUAAACUCAAAACCUAGAACCUCAAAUCCUAAACUCGUAGCCCGUAACCUCAAACCUAAACCUUGAAUCUUGAGAUUUGGGGUUUAAGGUUUAAGGUUCAGGAUUCGAGUUAAGGUAAAAUAAUUUUCAAAAUUAUGUGUCAAUGACAUGGAAAAAAAUUACACAAAAAUUAUUAUUUUUUAAAAAAAUGGUUGCACAAAAAUAAAAAAUGUUAACUUAUGGAAAAAAUGAUUAAAUUUUGUAAAAAAAAUGUUUGUUUAUAAUUUAAAAAAUUAAUUAUUUUAAGUAAUUUAAUUAAAGUUAAAUUAAGUUGGAGAAGAUAUGGGAUAUAGAUAGUGUAUUACAAUAUUUUGUUAUCUUUAAAAUUUAAUGACGUGGUACUAUUUUAUUGGUGCCUAAAAACUAUGCUUUUUAGAAUAAUCCUAAUAUGAUUUAUCCCCGGUACAAUAUCAUAAACAAUAUAUGUAUGAUUAAUAAGUACAGUUACAGUUAUAACCCUAGUAUAAUUACAAUACAAAUUACAAAUAAUAUAUAACCAAUCAAUUUAAUGUAAAAUAUAAUAGACUAAAACCUAAAAUAUUAUCUAGAUUUAAACGAGAAUAAAUAUUAACAAAAUCUAGACAUAAUAAACUUAAAUCCAAAAUAAUCUAAAAAAAAAUCCGUAUCUCAAUUUCUACCAUAGUAUAAAAACUUUAUUAGGUUUUAAAAAAUUAAAUCAAUUAAUUUGCUAUUACUUAAAUAAGUUGAUUAUAUUAGUGUAAUGUAGUUUAGAUGUUGUCCAAUUAAUUAUGAAAGAACAAAUGUAACUUAGGAAAAAUUGUAAGUUUUGAAAAUCUUUGAGAUAUAUUCUCGAUUGGUAAAGGUGGAGAGUUGAAUCAUAAAACUAUGAUUUUAUAUUCUACUCCAUGAGGCCUUUACAACAGUAUAUCAUAUGCUCAAAAUGGUUGAGUGAUGAGAGAAAUUGAUAUUCAAAGCAAGCUACUUGUGAAUAUUUGUUGAGGAAAAGGAAAGCUUGGAUUCCACAUUGGUUAAAUACCAAGUUAAUAUGUGUGUAUAUAUGAGAAUCCACUUGAAAGGUGAUUGAAUGAUUAAACUUGAAACUUUACCUUGCGCGUAAAAAGGGUGCAAAUCUAAACACAUCGGAGUUAGGAUACAUCUGCACGACGUGGGCGACACAAAAUGUCCGAACUGAUCAAGCUAAUAUUGGGUUUUCGAAUAUUUUAGUUCAACAUGAAAUUUAUUUUUCUAAGCAAAUAUAUACAAAAUAUGAUUUAAAAUGACAAAUAUCCUAAUUUUAUUUGAUUUGAUUCCAAUCAAAUUGAUUUAAUUUCUCCUUUAAUACAUAUUUUGAUCUUUAUUUAUGGAUAUUUCCAAAAUUCCUCCAUAUUGAAUGCCUAUAAAAAUCUAAGAAUUCUUUAGAAUUUUUUGGACACACUCUCUCUCACACCAAGUUUAUUUUGCUCUCCAGAAUUCUUCUUUUUUCCUCUCCAUAUUUUCCAAUGUUUUCAGUGAUAGAAGAAGGCAAUGUUUGUUCAUUGAUCACCACCGAGGUACUACUGCUUUGAUCAUCGUCACUACACCAGAACAGGUUUUUAGUAGCGUUUUUUUAGGCCUUUAGCGGCGCUUUUUAACGCCACUAAAGGCAUUUGCGGCGCUUGAAGAAGCGCCACAAAAAAUGCCGCUAACGACAACGUCGCUAACUUUUGCGGCGCUUACAGAAAAAAAACGCCGCUAAAGAUCAUGUUCUUUAGCGGCGCUAAGGAAAAAAACGCCGCUAAAGAUCAUGAUCUUUAGCGGCGCUUACGAAAAAACGCCGCUAAAGAUCAUGUUCUUUAGUGGCGCUUGGGAAAAAACGCCGCUAAAGAUCAUGUUCUUUAGCGGCGCUUAGGAAGAAAACGCCGCUAAAAAUAAUGUUCUAUAGUGGCGCUUUGUCAAAAACGCCGCUAACAGUAGUGCUCUUUAGCAGCGCUUAUUUCACAAACACCACUAUUUGAUAUGACUUUUAGCGGCGCUUUUUUAAAAAACGCCACUAAUUUUGGGAUUUUUUUAAAAUAAAAUUUUCUGUUUUUUUCAGCCCUCCUGCAACAAAAAAUCAAAAGCAACCAGAUCUAAAUUAACCAAAAACAAUAAAUUUAUAUAAUAUUUCAAAUUAAAUGACUAAAAUAAUAUUAAUUGAUAUAAAUAAAAGUGAAUUCAUACUUUUCUUUUCAAAAACGUUAAAAGUUAAAAUGAUAAAAAUAUUUAUGCAAUAUACACUAUGACGGCGGAAGUUGCGACUGCUGAAACAUCUUCAUCAUAAUCUGAAGCUGCUGUUGAAGUUCGUCGUACUUUUUGCUCUGCUCUGCUUCUCUUGAUGCCGCAUCUUUUUGAAGUCGUAGCUGUAGUUCUUCAUAUUUCUUUUGAACCUCUGCUUCUACCGCUGUUUCUCUCGCUGCUUCUCUCGCUGUAACCUCUGCUUCCCUCGCUGCCGCCACUGCUUUAAGUUGUUGCUAAAGUUCUUUAUAUUUCCUUUGAACCUCAAAUGUGGUCGCUUGCAUCUGAGCCAUCUGGUCUUUUAACCUCUGAACUUCAGCUUGAGAUUGACUCCCCGAAGCCAUGUAUUGGUGCGAGCUGGAUCCAAAAUAUUAGGUUGGGCUGAUAAAAGAUCCUUGAAAUCGAACCCGACCAUACUUUUUAGGACCCAAAACUUCAGUAAUGAUCCGGUUAUCAAUGUCUUCAAGAUGAACAGAACUAUCACUAGAAGCAAUCGCUUCGUACUCCGUCUUUUUUUCCUUUAGUUUUUCCUAAUAAAUAAAUCACAUAGUUAGGAACGCAAUAUAUAUUAAAAAAACAAAUGCAAUAUAACAAUAGUCGCAUUACAAGCAAUAAAUUAAACCAUUAUAAAAUAAGCACUAUAAAUAACUAAAACAAGUUAAAUCGUAUUAAGUAAACGUACCAUAAUUUCACCAGCUUCAGGAGUCAUAACAGAUCCAUCUUUCUUCUUAUGUGUAAUUUCAAAAAGUUGAAGGCNNNNNNNNNNNNNNNNNNNNNNNNNNNNNNNNNNNNNNNNNNNNNNNNNNNNNNNNNNNNNNNNNNNNNNNNNNNNNNNNNNNNNNNNNNNNNNNNNNNNNNNNNNNNNNNNNNNNNNNNNNNNNNNNNNNNNNNNNNNNNNNNNNNNNNNNNNNNNNNNNNNNNNNNNNNNNNNNNNNNNNNNNNNNNNNNNNNNNNNNNNNNNNNNNNNNNNNNNNNNNNNNNNNNNNNNNNNNNNNNNNNNNNNNNNNNNNNNNNNNNNNNNNNNNNNNNNNNNNNNNNNNNNNNNNNNNNNNNNNNNNNNNNNNNNNNNNNNNNNNNNNNNNNNNNNNNNNNNNNNNNNNNNNNNNNNNNNNNNNNNNNNNNNNNNNNNNNNNNNNNNNNNNNNUUCUUCAAAGUACUUUUAUUGUCUCUCCAUCUUUUUCCCAAUGCCUUCUUUACAUAAGCAUCCGAGACCUCUAAAGCAAACCUCGCCUACAAAAAACACAAGUUAAUAAAGUACAUAUAAAUGAAACUAUUUCCCAAGCAUUACAGAUGACAUUAAUAAAAUUUGUUACCUUAAUAUUAUCGAGGGCUUGGUUUUUGUUGCUAUCGGGCAUUUGACGCCAUGACUCGUAGUUGAUAGGCAACAUAUUCGCAUUUCGUGCUAAAAUGCCCAUGUAUCCUGCUAAAAGUCGAGCUUCUGAUCCAACAGGCUGACCAAAACUGUUUCUGCAUACCUUGACACGCUCGACUAGAUCUAACUCGUAUAACUCUCUAAGUAGCGUACGUCCUCGACCUCUGCGCGUCCCACCAUUUUCAGCUACAAAUGGUAUAUUAUAAAAUAAAAAUUUGAAGAAUAAAUCAAUUAUAAGUCAACACGCAUGUAAAUUAAAUGUAAAAUUACUUUGAACUUCCGUAGGAUCCUCAGGUGUAAUCGGAACAUUCGGAGAUCCAAUUGCUGUCCGUUGUUCAGUACUAUUUGUUUCUGUCGNNNNNNNNNNNNNNNNNNNNNNNNNNNNNNNNNNNNNNNNNNNNNNNNNNNNNNNNNNNNNNNNNNNNNNNNNNNNNNNNNNNNNNNNNNNNNNNNNNNNUUUCCCUUAUAAUUUUUCUUCUAGGCAUUUUAUCUGCAAUACACAUAAAAUGUAAUUAAACUUAAUAACUAAUUACAACAAUAACAGCACAUAUAAAAUAGUUGAAAUAUAUAAUAAGACCAAGAUUUAAUACUAAUAUAAGUUACAUAUAAUUAAACAAUCGUAAAAUCUUACUACAUCAUUAUUCGUAAAUAUCUUCAUCCGUAUCCUGAAGAACCCAUUGAAAUUGUGCACUAGUACUAGGGAUAUUAUCGUUUAAGUUUUGUCUUGGAAAUGGCAAAGUUUCUGAUCUGUCGUCAAUGUUAUCUCUACUUCCACUGCCCAUGUCAAACAAGUCUCUAGAGAUGUUACGGAGUACAACGUACCAACCCUCAUUAGUUGGAUCUUUUGAGUAAAAAACUUGUUUGACUUGAGAUGAGAAUACAUACGGCUCAUCUAUCAGUUGUUGUCCAGUGUGAAUUAAUCGGUCAAAGUUCACCAUUGUAAAACCAAAUUGAUCUUGCUUGAUUCCACGAGCUGUAUUAACAUCGGCCCAAUCACCUCGAAAUAAGACAACUUUCCAUUUGCCGUAGAAAUCCAACUCAAUUAUGUCAGUAAGAUGUCCGAAAUAUUCCACAUUUCCCUCGACAGGAUUAUUGUCCCUAGCACUAGCAUAACUUAUAAUUGUAGAAUUAACAACUAUUCCACAAUUUUGCGUUCUCCUCAACCUCUCGCAAUAUUUUGUAUGAAAUCUGAAUCCGUUGAUGAGGAACGCACUAUAUCUUUUAACCACUCGAUUUGGACCUUGGGAGAGCCAUUUAACUUCGUCGUCUACGUUCUUCCCACUCCAAACCUAUUGAAUGGAAAGUAAACUGAGUAAUUAAAAAUGUUAUGCGAAAACAUUAUUAUUUGUAAGCGGAAGCUCCAACUGCAUACCGUUUGGCUUAACCAUUCAUAAAAAGAUUCUGUAAACAACUUAUUGAUAUCUCGAUGUUGUGUUCUUCCGGAGCGCGAACGAGAUCUCAAUAUUUGUUUGUACUCACUGUGUUAAAAAAUGUUCACUUUGUUAGAAGAUAAACAAUUAUUAGUUUGAUAAAUAUUUAUCAAAUUUGUAGAACUUACUUCCGUAAAGGUUCCAAUGAUUCAUGGUGAAACAGAACAUAUCGAUGUGCUUGUACCCACGAUAAAUGAUCUAAUUCUGCAAUUUCAACUUUACCGAUUGGUUCUCCAAAACUUUGGAACAAAUAAGUAUCGGCUAAGUUAUGGUCUGCGAGUCCAGCAUUCCUAUUUGGUCUGUUCAACCUUGUUUCAACAUCUUCCAAAUAUCUUGAGUAGAAGGUCAUACAUUUCUCUGCCAAGUAGCCUUCAGCAAUUGAUCCUUUUGGAUAUCACUUGUUGCGGUAGUAAGACUUUAAUUUGGAUAGGAACCUAAACACAAUAUACAACAUUAUCAAAAGAUGUAACUAAAGGCAUAGAGGUGAAUGAAGGAAAAUUUUAAAAAUUUUAACUAACACCUUUCUAUGGGAUACAUCCAUCGAUAGAAAACGGGUCCGCCAAGAAUUGCUUCGUGCAGGAGAUGGAUUAUCAAGUGAACUAUAAUGGUGAAGAAUGAAGGUGUGAAGAUUUUCUCCAUGUUGCAUAAAGUCAAAGCGGCUCGAUCCUGUACCUUCUGAAGUUCUUGAACAUCCAAAACUUUGCCACAAUGGCUUUCAUUAUAUUGAUAGUUCAAUUAUACAAGACGUCACCUUCUUGGACAUACAGAUCGUAGAGCAACUGGCAGUAAAUCUUGCAUCAAGAUGUGAUAGUCAUGUGAUUUUAGCGAAUAUAAUCUUCGAUCUUUAACACUAACACAUCAAGAUAUAUUUGAUGCAUACGCAUCUGGAACCUUNNNNNNNNNNNNNNNNNNNNNNNNNNNNNNNNNNNNNNNNNNNNNNNNNNNNNNNNNNNNNNNNNNNNNNNNNNNNNNNNNNNNNNNNNNNNNNNNNNNNAUGCAAAACAGUUCUUUCACCGUCUUGGACAUUGAGAAAAUAGAAGGUGGCAACCGAUAUUUCCCAUUCGGAAGUGGAUUGGGAUGAAGAUCAGGCCAAAUUCCCAUUUGGACUAAAUCAAGUCGACUCUGAAGAUUGUCUUUUGAUUUUCCGUCGACAUUCAAAAUUGUACCCACAAUGUUCUCGCAGACAUUUUUCUCAAUGUGCAUAACAUCAAGAUUGUGUCGUAAAAGGUGAUGCUCCCAAUAAGGCAACUCAAAAAAAUACUUCUUUUUUUCCACAAGUCCGCCUCAUUAGGAUCAUCAUCUUCAUCAGAGUCAUCAUCAGCUUCAUCAUUUGAUCUUCUAUUUCUUUGUGUGCUUGGCGGUUGGUUCAUCUUCCCAUAAAUGAAAUUCAUAUCUUCCAACAUGAACAAGAUUUCAGAGCCACUGGUCUGCAAAAGAGCUUCUCUGAACUCUUCAGUACUGUCCAAUACGGAACUCUGAAAUCUAAAUCUAUGAUUUUUCGGUAACCACCGACGAUGCCCCAUGUAAGAGAACUUCUUCCCAUUGUACAACCAUUGCGAACAUGUUUGUGCAGCACAACAAGGACACCCAUAACGACCCUUGGUACUCCAACCGGAUAAAUUGGCAUAAGCGGGAAAGUCAUUAAUGGUCCACAUCAAAGCUGUACGUAAAUUAAAGUUCUCCUUUCUCAGCACAUCGUAUGUCUCGACACCAGCCAUAAUUGUUUUAACUCUUCAAUAAGUGGCUGUAAAUAAAUGUCGAUAUCAUUCCCGAGCCCUUUCUCUCCAGGGAUAAUCAUAGAUAAGAUAAGGGAAAAUUGCUUCAUGCAAAUCCACCGAGGCAGAUUGUAAGGAACAAGCACUACUGGCCAAGUACUGUACGCAGUGCUCAUGAUCUUGAAAGGAUUAAAUCCAUCAGAUGCUAGCCCAAGCCUCACACUCCUAUGAUCGCUUGCAAAGCCUGGAAAUUUAUUGUCAAAUGAUUUCCAAGCUAAAGAAUCUGCCGGAUGCCUUAGUAAGUCAUCAUCGGUUCGUCCAUCAUGGUGCCACGUCAUUGAUUCUGCUGUCUUCGACGACAUGAAAAGCCUUUGAAGCCGUGGCAUCAUUUUCAUCGUCGUUCCCAUCUUCUGUGUUUCUACUAAUCCAACGGGAUUGGCCGCAUACAUGACAGCACUGUUGGUUUUUUCGAUCGCCCCAAUACAAUAUGCAGUCAUUUGGGCAACUAUGGAUUUUGUUGUACCCAAAGCCUAAAUCUUUUAUUAUUUUCUUCAUAUCUUUGCAUGACUGAGGGAUUUUUGCAAACAGAAACAUUUCUCUCAAAAACUCUAACAGCAUUGUCAACGAGUUUUCGGUCCAUCCUCCCAAACAUUUUAACUAAAAAAGACGAACACAGAAUGACAUUUUUGAAAAUUUUGAGCCCUCAUACAGUUCUUCGUUCAUGUCAUUAAGUAGCGCGUAGAACUUCGCCGCUUCUCCAUUUGGCUCUUCAUGAGGUACACUACUGGCCGGUUCGGUAAAUGCAGUUCCACUAAUAUUACAAUCAUCAGAUGCCACAAAAUCCGCUGGGAACGACUGCACACCAUGAUUAUGCAUAUUAAAUGCAUCUCGCAACAUACCUUCCAUGUCAUCCCCUCUUUCAGACUGAUGGUAUUUAGCAGUACCAGGAUAAGAUACAUCCAUCCUUGAAGAGGAAGUACUAGGCGAGCAUUCUCCAUGAAAAAAUCAUUGCUUAUAACCCCAAACAAACCCAUCAACAAUUAGAUGCUCGUAUACAACCUCACGAUAAUGCCAGUUUAUGUUGACACACUUCUUACACGGGCAAAGAAUCAUGUUCUCUUGGCUUGCAUAUUGAAAUGCAAAAUUUAGAAAAGUCUCAACUCCGUUUCGAUAACCGUUGCUUACCCUUGACAAAUUCAUCCAAGAUCGGUCCAUAUCUUAAUUCUUGAAGUCUGACAUUGACAAUAAAUUGCACGGGUAAGUUAUGUAUUAUGUAAGCUAUGUAAGUUGUGUAUUAUGUAAGUUAUUAUUAUGUAAGUUAUGUAAGUAAUGUAUUAUGUAAGUUGUGUAUAAUGUUAGUUAUCAAAGUUAUGUAUUAUGUAAGUUAUUUAAGUUAUGUAAGUUGUGUAUUAUGUAAGUUAUGUAGGCUAUGUAUGUUAAAUAAGUAAUGUAUUAUGUAAGUUGUGUAUAAUCAGCUUCAUCAAAGUUAGGUAUUAUGUAAGUUAUUUGUGUUAUGUAAGUUGUGUAUUAUGUAAGUUAUGUAGGCUAUGUAUGUUAAGUAAGUAAUGUAUUAUGUAAGUUGUGUAUAAUGUUAGUUAUCAAAGUUAUGUGUUAUGUAAGUUAUUUAAGUUAUGUAAGUUGUGUAUUAUGUAAGUUAUGUAGGCUAUGUAUGUUAAGUAAGUAAUGUAUUAUGUAAGUUGUGUAUAAUGUUAGUUAUCAAAGUUAUGUAUUAUGUAAGUUAUUUAAGUUAUGUAAGUUGUGUAUUAUGUAAGUUAUGUAGGCUAUGUAUUAUGUAAGUUAUUAUGUUAUUAUGUAAUAAGUUUAUAUAUAAGUUUAUAUUAUGUAAGUAUUUCACUUUUAUGUAUCUUAUUUAUAAUUAUUUUUAAAAUUAUAAAAUUCAUUACUAAUAAAAUUGAAAUGUAGGAUAUUUUUUUUUGAAAGAAAACCCGAAGGUUAAAACUUUAUUUAAUCGCAUCAUUAAGAACAAUAUCGUGGAUUUCCGUCGGAAAAUCCAUGUUAAAGUCCAUACAGCUCUUGUUAAGGUUUGCCCAUUUACACAGGGCAUCAGCAACUCUGUUACAACACCUUGGGACCCAUUUAACCGUAAAGAAAUUGAAACCAACUAUGAACUUCCGAAUUUCUUUCAACUGGUGGCCCAUCAAGGUCAAGUCCUCCUUACUGCUGUUGAAACGGUUAACAAUACUUGCGCAAUCUGACUCAAUCGCCACGCACUUCCAGUUUUUGGAACAGGUGUAAUUGAUACUCACUUCCAUGACAUGCGUCUCCGCCCACUCAAUACUUGAAACAUUGUUAGACAUGCCCACACGCCCCCUAAGAAUGAAACCAUCUGUAUCCCUUUCCACCAGACCGUACAACCCCGUAUUCUCAUGGAUAGUAGCAUCGAAAUUAAUCUUGAUAACUCCUGACUCAGGUUUCUGCCAAUCCCUUUCCACAAUAGGCUUAGGUAUCAUCGGCCUGUCCAACAGAUUAAAGAUACGAAAGUCCCUAUUUAAAGCCGCAGCCCUGUCCCAUGUCACCUUGGCAUCCUCCUCUAUAUUACGAAAAACUUUGAUGUUUCUACUAUUCCAAAUAUUCCAGAUGGUAGAAAUAAAAUCCGACAUAGCCUUCUUGUCCAUCACGCGGGCAGCAUCCUCGAUCCAGUUCACGCGCCGGUCAUAAGUACCCUCGAACAGCUUUUGAUUUGACCCCCCAUAGCGCAGCACUGCCCUGGCACUAGGGCACUCUCUCAAAGCGUGAACAAGGGUUUCCCUCUCAACACCACAUCUCGGGCACAUACUGUUGAAAUCCCUCCGGAUUCGAGAGAUAUUCUCAUAAGUAGGUAGAAUGUCAUGCCCCAGGCGCCAGCAGAAAAGCUUAAUUUUUGGCAAGGUUUGCAGUUUCCAAGUAAGGUUCCAGAAAAAACAGUAGGGAUCGUAGCCCACAUUCUUCAAAGUCAUCCAGGAGUAAGCUGACUUGGUAGAGUAAAAACCCUGGGGAUUAUGAAACCAUAUACGUAAAUCAUCCGGGCCAUUAGGAAGAAAGGGAAUUUUACCAAUAUAGUCCCCCAUAUUCUCCCCAUAGAUCACCUUCACUCUACAUUCGUUCCAUCCAUAUUUGUUACUGUUCAAAAGAUCACACACCUUAUUCUCCUGAACCUCCCUUUUAUCGAUACGGAUGGAAUCACCGGAUAAGCCUUCGAAACCCCAGUUAUCCUUCCAAAUGUCAAUAUUGCAGCCAUUCCCCACCCUCCAUCCAAAGCCCUCCUGAAGCCAAGUGAUCGCCUUUUGGAUACUCCGCCAAGUAAAAAAGGGUUUGUCGACCCACUUUGAAUGAAAUACGUCGCCAUCUGGGAAGUACUUAGCCCUUAAAACUUUGUAACAAAGCGAGUCUUUACACCUCAUAAGCCGCCACACCUGUCUGCCUAAUAAAGCAACGUUAAAACGCCUAAGAUCUCUGAAGCCCAGUCCUCCCAUACCCUUCGGAAGGCACAUCCUUUCCCAGGCCAGCAUAUUCCACCCCCUAUUAUUAUCCUUACCCCCCCACCACACCCUCCGGAUCAAGGACUGAAUCUUAUUAAUGACACCGUCCGGGAUAAAGAAAACCGAGAAGGCAUAGGUCGGGAUCGACUGUAGAAUAAAGAUUUCCUUACCACCAUUAGAUAAGAGUCUCUUAGACCAGCUGUUAAUCCUAUUGGCGACACGAUCAAUAAUAUUCUGAAAGACCAUCGAUUUUUUCUUACCCACCGGGAUAGGCAGACCAAGAUAACCAUCAAAAUUAUCCACCAUCUUCAUUUUCAGCAAUCUGCUUAAGGUUUCGCGAUUCACGUUCGGGGUGUUAGGGCUGAAAUAGAUCAUCGACUUGUCUAAAUUGAUACUUUGGCCCGACCUCUUUUCGAAAGUUUCCAGAAUCUUCAUGACAGCCUUUGCUUUAUGCUUUGAAUUCCUAACAAAUAAUAAAGCAUCAUCAGCAAAGAAAAUAUGAUUAAUACUCGGGCCAUUCUUACUAGCCUUAAUGCCUUUAAUACUCUUAGUCUCUUGAGCAUGGGUUAACAUGCGAGACAAGGCAUCCAUGCAAAAAAGAAACAAGUACGGGAAAAGGGGAUCUCCUUGUCUAAGACCCCUUUUCGGGACAAUAAGCUCAGAGAGGGUCAUAUUGCAUUUAACUCUAUAUCGAAUAGUACAGACACAGUCCAUAAUAAUAUGCACCCACUCAUGAGCAAAACCCAUUUUCAGCAUCACAUUUUUAAGAAAGUCCCAAUCCACCCUGUCGUAGACUUUGCUCAUGUCGAGCUUAACCACA